rnacentral:rRNA from 1 species
UGGGGAAUAUUGCACAAUGGGCGCAAGCCUGAUGCAGCCAUGCCGCGUGUAUGAAGAAGGCCUUCGGGUUGUAAAGUACUUUCAGUCGGGAGGAAGGUGUCAAGGUUAAUAACCUUGGCAAUUGACGUUACCGACAGAAGAAGCACCGGCUAACUCCGUGCCAGCAGCCGCGGUAAUACGGAGGGUGCAAGCGUUAAUCGGAAUUACUGGGCGUAAAGCGCACGCAGGCGGUUUGUUAAGUCAGAUGUGAAAUCCCCGGGCUCAACCUGGGAACUGCAUCUGAUACUGGCAAGCUUGAGUCUGGUAGAGGGGGGUAGAAUUCCAGGUGUAGCGGUGAAAUGCGUAGAGAUCUGGAGGAAUACCGGUGGCGAAGGCGGCCCCCUGGACGAAGACUGACGCUCAGGUGCGAAAGCGUGGGGAGCAAACAGG